AUUCUCUGCAUUAAAAGGACAAAACUAUUAUAUAUAGGUCACAUGUUGGUUAUAAGUAUAGCUGGAUAAAACAUUCGGUUUGACCCCUAUUUUCUAAAAACUAUUAUAUAUAAGUCACAUGUUCUCCAAAUUAUCAGAUUUUUUUUAUUAAGAUUGAAUUAAAUAUUUAUGGUCCUCUAAAUUAAUUCUAGAUCCAGCAUUGCAAACACAGAUCAUGAUUUUCAUAUUACAUUUCUCAUCAAUCUAAGAAAUGAUAAACAAAAAAAAAUGUUAUAUAAUUCACAAGAUGUAAACAUUGACAAGAUAUUUUAAAGAAACAUAAUAAAUCCAGCACAUAUAGACCAUAACUCAGAGAAUAAUGUAAAAAAUGAUGUACAUAAUACAUACCCUUGUAUCGAAAAGGUCAUUGUCCUCAGCAGAGAAAGCUUGCAUUGCGAAACUGUUGGUAAACCAUAAGCUAUUCUCCACAAACACAGGGAGGGUUGGAGCAAGUGGCUGUGGAACAUACUCCCUAGCCAUCGGAUUUAGUUUAGAAAACUUAACAUCCAUCUGAGUUAUCUCACUCUUGAGAUCCCCUUCACUGCCUUUUGUUGAGUUUGGUGUCUCAACAGAAGAGUUGGAUUCAGGGUUCUGAUCAUCAGGAGAUGGCGGCAUCAUCGUAGUUUCUAAUGAAGCAGUGUUGUUGUCUAGAUUUUGUUCAGAAGAGUCCACUUUCACAUCAGCAUUUUCCGGGACAGCCAUGAUCAUUCACACCAAAGGAUGAAUUAUCUGUAUCGCAACAAAUCUGACCGAAGAAAAGUUUGAAGUAGAAUAGAGGAAUAUAAAGCUCUUUUUGGUUAAAUGAAAACAAUAAAUUGAUUACCAAAAAAAAUAAACAAGAAAUUCCAGUCAAGAAAAUAUACAGAUGCAAUAAAUUAUUCUUAAUUAGUUUGGCAUUUGUCAAUAUCAUUUCUUCAUUAUUAAUUAUGUUGGUCAUAGUCAACACCAUUUCUUCAUUGGUCUUGUUAUAUUGUUUAUAUCAAAUUUUCUUACUAAUGAAAUUUAAUUUUAUUUCCUAAACAAGAUUCUGAAAAAAAUUACUCUUUUUCUGUCAACAUAUUUCACUAUUUUUUCGGCGAUGAAUUAAUUUUAACCUUUUCUUUCAUAUUGGUUUAGAAGAAAUUAUUACAUAAUUUAAUAUUUAAUAUUUUUAGUUUCUUUUAUCUAAAAUACAAGUGUUAUAUUUUAGAAGAAAAUUAAGCUGUUUUAUUAUUUUAUAUUUUAUAUUUUAUAUUCAGGUAUUAAGCAGUUAGGAAGAAAUUGUAAAAAAGUUUACCAUCAAUUUGACUAAAAAUUAUUAAUAAUAUUAUACCAUAAAAUCGGAUUUGAGUCUCAAAUAUGAUUUACUGAUAACUGUGUAAAUUUAUAAAGAUAAAAUUAAAAAAAUAUUUUAACAUAGUUCAAAUAAAAUUAUAAAGCUUGGAUAUUCAUAAAACAAUAUUUUUACUAUAUAAUAAUACUAUAUUUGACUAGGAGCGUCAUUUUCAUACGAGCAUUAGGUCAUGUACAUUGCAUUAAUAGGUUAAUAAAGUAAUUUGACCUAUAUUUGAUUAUGUAAAUAAUAUAUUAUCAAGUAGUGCAAAUCUUUGGAUACUGUAUAUUGUAAAAAUAUAAUAUUAUUUCUAUAGUGAUGGUAGAUGAAUUAAUGUAUUUUCAUAUAUAUUAGAAAAUUUAAUAAAAUUUUAGACUAACAUAAAAGAUAUACUUUGUUUGAACCAAACAUCAUAUAUUAUCGUUUAGAAUAUAACAAAAACUGAAUAUAUUCUAGGCAAAAUAAUUCUUUUUACAAAAUCUGAUAUGUUAAGUAAGAUUUGGUUUUCAUUAUAUGUAAAAAUCAUAUUUUUAAUAUUGCAUAUAUUAUAUAAUUAUUUUAAAUAUUAAACACUAUAAUUAUUAAAUAUAUUUUUAUUAAACGACAACACACUAACAAAUUAUCAAAUUAUAUCGAAUUUCUUGUUUAUCACCAUUUAAGUAUGUUAACCUAAUGAUCUGAAGAUUGACACUCACUUGUAAUAUCCUUUGAUGUCUCUUUAUAUCGAUGAAAAAUUAAAACAUUUCAAAAGAACAAUCUUAUAAUUUUCCAAUACUUUCUCACUCAUCCAGGAAAAGUCAGAGGAAAACCGAAACUCUAACCUAAAUUCAUGGCAAACAUUGACACCCUAAUUUCUGAACUUACUGAAGAAUCAACUAAUGUCAAAGUUUGAGAAAAAAUAUUAAGAGUAUGGCAAACAAGUCCGCUAAAUCUGAAAGAAAAGCAUCUUAUUAUUGCAGACCCAAAUGUAAGUUCUAUGUAAUAUUUAUUCAAUUUUUUUAUCUUUGGUUUAUUGGAUACGAUUUUUUUUUUACUUUCCCUUUAAAACUAGGGUUGUAGAAUUGAAAUAAUACUUCCUCGUCAUUUACUGGACAAGCACUACUUCAACUUUUUUAUGAAGAUGAAUAGAAAAUAUCCGACGAUUGAAGUUAAACCUUGCAAAGCAUGGAGAAUAAAUAACCCCCACCAAUUCCACAUCAGUUUAGUCAAACGCAGUCAAGUAUUUAAUGGUUUUACACUUACUGAAGAUCCAAUUUUUGAUCAGAUUCAGUUCAAACGAGUUCUCCAAAAAAAUGUUGACAACACUUAUCAAAUCAGUAUGUAUAAUCAUUUAGUUUUUAAAGAAUAAAUAUGUAAUGUAUUCGUUACCAAAUUUAAUAUCUUACUAUUGCUCGAGUUUUGUAGAAUUGGUUGGAUGGGUUACUUCCUUUGGAUAUCUAAGACAUUCUGUGAAUGAUUCUUAUGAUGAGAUAUUAGGAGAACAUGUGUCUAAAAUCAAUUUUAAGUUGAUGGACGAAAGGUAAUUUCAUUUACUUAAUAAGAUACUCAAAUAUUAAAUUUAAAAUUUAAAAUAAUCUUCUAUGUAUGUCACCAACAUUACUAUUUAGUAGAUAUGAGUUGGAAUGUGAAGCUUCUAAAAAGAUAGCCCGAGAUUUGGAUAUGAAGAGUUGGAGACUCUAAAUUCAUUAAAACAUUUCCAUCUUUGCGUUUAUGGCAAGUUAAUUACAUGGAACUAGGUAAUUUUAAGUAUUUUAUAUUAAUGACUUUAUUUUUGCUAUGCAAUAACCGAUUUGCAUUGUUGACAAAUAAUUUAGAAAAAGUCAAGAUUACAAAGAAUGUGCCAAAUUCAUUUUCUAUCCAACAUGGGUUUAAUAAUUUUGUAUUAUCAUGUUUGUAUUAAUGCUUAGGCUUAUCUUAGUGGAAAUGAUGGUCCACUUUAAACCCUAUAAAUGCUUUAUUAAUACAUAUCUAUUUUUAUUAUUGGAUAACUAAUAAGGUCCCAAUCUGAAACAAACAAGCCAGAGGACUUGGUCAUAUAGAUGAAUAAUAUAUCUAUACUAUUAAAAGGGAAGCAUUCUUAAAAAAAUCUACUUAUGCAAGGUUGUUUGGACCUAUUAGUUAGACUAACACCACAUAAUUCAGCCUAUUUUUAAGCCAAAGUAAUAUUCCAUACAUCAACUCAUAAUUUCCUUAAUGUACAAAAAGAGAUAUUGUAACUAAAAACGAUAUUGUACGUAAAGAUUUUAUUAUUAUUUUCUUAAUACAGAAAAUAACUUAAGGAAAUAGUCAUAACAAACGGAUCAAUAUUAAUGUACAUAUUUUUGGACCCUACAUAUAGAUUACCGAACAUAUGAUGCAUACCAUUGUAUUACAAACUUAACAAUAUUCAUUGCACUUUUUAAGUGAUAUGUUAUUCAUGUAUUUCUUGACUUUUUUAUGAAAUGUUAUCACAAAUUUAAUAUCUGAAAUUGAAAACUAUAUCAAUACUAAAAAUAAUUGGUUUGUUAAUAAUGUAAAUUGAUAGUUGUAACUAUGAUAUAAAUAUAUGCGAGAAAAAUUCAUUUUUAAUUUAAAAUUGAUAGCUUGUGGUUAAUGACAAUGUUUUGAAAACCGAACGGGACACUGAUUCAACAUUGCACCUGGAUCAAUGGUCGGACCGGUUUAACCGCUUAAUUUUAAUUUAAUUAACUAUAUAUAUGUAAGUAUAACUAUAAAUUAAUUUUGAUAUAAGUUUAUAUCAAUGUUAUAUUUUAAAAUUGAUAUGGAAAAUUAAAAUGAAAAAAAUCAAAAAUUAAAACUAAUUUAUUUAUAUAUGUAGUAGAAAACAAUAUUAAAUUUUGAUGAAAUCUUAUUAAAAUUUGCAAUUUUUUUUUAAUUUGAAUUUGAAAAAACUGGGUUUUAAUAUUGAACUAGGUCCGAUUUAACUCAAAUUUGGUUUUUAGCACAACUCAGAACCAGUUAGAAGAGCGAGUUAUGAUCCGACUGGUUCGAUCGUACGGUCCGAUCAGAUUUUCAAAACAUUGGUUAAUACAGUUCAAUAAUUAAAAUAUAUAUUUUUAAUAAUGAAUAUCUUUACUACUAAAAACAUAGAUAUCAUCUUUAAAUCUAUUUCAAACAAAUCUCACACUAUAAAAAAUAAUGAAUAAUAGAAACAUUAAAAAUCAAUAGUUAUAAUGUGAAACAAAAAAAAUUAUACUAAAUUUAAAAUUUAUUAAAUAUUAAAAACCUAAGAAGCGCGGGUCAAAAUCUAGUACUUUUAGUUACAAACAUGCUAAAAAUAUAAACUAGAAAAUCUUCCAUAUGUAUUGAGUCUACUUUUAGUUGUGGUCAAUACAGAAAGCUACCUACACAAAAAGCUAGCAUUUAAAUUACAAUAUUACUGUUAUGGAAAAGAAUAGAAUCUGUUAAUUACCACAUCAAAAGAACCUAACAAGUAAAGUUCAAAAUAAUUGUGGAAAAGAUCUAGUCUGAAAUGAUCACAACACCAACAAACACUUUAGAUUUUAAAACUAUUGAAUAAAUUAUUUAGGAUUUCCUAAUUUAUAAAAAAAAACUGUGGUUUAGUGAAUAUAGUAUAUCAAGAUAUAUGGCCUUUUUAGUAGAUGGUUUUGUUUGACCAUAAUGGUCGCCUAUAUCUUGGCAAGCUAACUAGAUUCUUUCACAAAAUAAUAUGAUUAUAAACUAAAAAAAACAGAUCAAACUAAAUAACAUAGAAAAUAAAUAUUCUUUCACAAAGCAAAGACUCUCCUAAAAUCUAACAGAAACAACAAGAAAGAUUAAUGAAAGAAUUUGACAAGAAUUUAAAACAAAUAAACACACUGAGUAAUCUUACCAGAUGUCUAUGCAUGGAGAUUCAGACAAAAGAUAAGAGCAAAGUCAAAGAUUUCCCCAAAAAAGUGUCUUAAAAUGAUCCAU